UUAAAGUCAACUUUUAGCUUCACUAAACGACAAUAUUCAUUCCCCUAAAUUUGUUUAUGGCCUGAAAUUGAUAGUUAUCAUCGGAAUACCACCAUGGCUGCCGUCGACCACCGCACGCGACAGCAGUCCAACGGCAAACUCUCGUGGCUUUGCCCCUUCACUAAAUCCAUAUUUCCGGCUAAGCGUCGGCUCCGGCUUGAUCCUUCUAACAAUCUCUACUUUCCAUAUGAACCUGGAAAGCAGGCGAAGAGUGCCAUAAAGAUUAAGAACACAAGCAAAUCUUUUGUAGCAUUCAAGUUUCAAACUACUGCACCAAAGAGCUGCUACAUG
rnacentral:misc_RNA from 1 species